AGCGAACGCUGGCGGCAGGCCUAAUACAUGCAAGUCGAACGCCCCUUCGGGGGAGUGGCGGACGGGGGGGUAACGCGUGGGAACGUGCCCUUUGGUACGGAACAACUGAGGGAAACUUCAGCUAAUACCGUAUGUGCCCUCCGGGGGAAAGAUCUAUCGCCAUUGGAGCGGCCCGCGUUGGAUUAGCUAGUUGGUGGGGUAAAGGCACACCAAGGCGACGAUCCAUAGCUGGUAUGAGAGGAUGACCAGCCACACUGGGACUGAGACACGGCCCAGACUCCUACGGAAGGGAGCAGUAGGGAAUCAUGGGCAAUGGGCGAAAGCCUGACCCAGCCAUGCCGCGUGAAUGAUGAAGGUCUUAGGAUUGUAAAAUUCUUUCACCGGGGACGAUAGUGACGGUACCCGGAGAAGAAGCCCCGGCUAACUUCGUGCCAGCAGCCGCCGUAAAAC
rnacentral:rRNA from 1 species